rnacentral:rRNA from 1 species
UACGUAGGGUGCAAGCGUUGUCCGGAAUUAUUGGGCGUAAAGAGCUCGUAGGCGGUCUGUUGCGUCGGCUGUGAAAACCCAGGGCUUAACUCUGGGCUUGCUUUCGAUACGGGCAGACUAGAGGUAUGCAGGGGAGAACGGAAUUCCUGGUGUAGCGGUGAAAUGCGCAGAUAUCAGGAGGAACACCGGUGGCGAAGGCGGUUCUCUGGGCAUUACCUGACGCUGAGGAGCGAAAGUGUGGGGAGCGAACAGG